CCGGAAGUGUGAGCUGCUGCCACCGCUGCUGCCCCUCCCGCAACUUCCCCCCUGCCUCUGCCUCAGCACUCUGCGGGGGAGGGGCUGUGUGCGCGGCAGCCCGGCAGUGUGUUUUGCCUCCACGUGGAGCCAGCGUCUGACCGGCAUGGGCAUGGUGAUGGCAAAUGCAUGUCCAAGUGGAGGUGGAGCUGUGAAAAGAAAACCCUAGCCCCCCUCUACUACUAGGAUGGGUAGGUGAGGCAUAAGUCUGGAUGAAGCAUCUGCCAUGUCCAGUGCUGACUGCAAAGAUGUCUUGGCCAUCAAACUGCCUUCUGCAAUGAAUGCCUGAAACUUUUUCCUGUAGGAUUCUGGCAAUUUAUUUGUAAACUUGGACAUAGCAUCCCAGUUCACAAAGUUAUACUUAGAUAAUAGCACUUGUUGGUUUGCAAUGGCCAUUUGUAAUGAAGAGAUUGAAUAAACUAUUAUCCCCAUCAAGUCUAACCUCUUAGACUCUUUGUCUUUAUUUGUGGAUUUAUAUCUCCCCUGAGGUAACUUCUUAUUUGCUGUCAUCAGAACAAGAGAAUUAGGAGCUGGAUGUAAGAGAAACACUCAAAACCUUGCAUGGGGAUAUGAUACCUCUUAUAGGUACACCUUGCUGUGGGUGCUAAAGGCAUUGACUUUGAUGUGCUUUGUGCAUACACAUGAGUGGAAUAUAUGUCUGCAACCACUUGAAGAACAACUUUUACAAAGUAUUUAGACCUGGCAAACUGGUUCUAGCUGUGAUGGAAUUAGGUUGACAGAAAGCACAGUGCUCAGGACUUGUGUUAGUCUCUAUCCUUCCAAAUUACCUGGCUAUGUUCCUUUUGGAUUUUAAUCAAUGCUAUGUAUUCACAAAAACAAUUUUUGAUUGAUAAGACAUUCCCUCACCAGCAGAGGAGGAACACAUUUGCCUCUGCACUACUCCUAGCCCAGCUAAUGCAACUGAGAAUUGAUGCAUAUAUAGUAAUGCAGAGCUCUCUCUGUAGUCCAGCUCUUUUCAGAAAACAUUUACAGUAGAACCCUAAUUUUAUCAAUAUCAAUUACAAAAGCCUAGUUAUAUGAACCAUCUUUCUGCUACCAAAGUCAUCUUUUUGCCAGUGAAUGUGACUUAAAUCCUUCAGCCAACAUUCAAGUAGCUGUACAGGUUUGAAGAGAGUGACAUUUGGCAGCAAAAAGAUGUAGUUCUCUCUAAGAAAAAAAAUCAGGCACAUUGUAUAUAUUUGUUAGCAUUGAUUAUGUACACUAAUCAUUGAAUGAUUAGUAAAUUGACUUAUGUACUGUACCUAUUGUGAUUUUGAGAUGUUAGAGAGGUUAGAACCACACGCUCAUCUCUUGGGCUGGAUGUGAAGUAUUUCAUUUAAAGUGUAACAAUGGAGGGUAAACAAAAAUGGGAAAAAAUACCAAGAUUGAAGGGGCAAAGAUAACAGUAUAACCUCCUUGAAUUCUAGGCAACAUGAAAAAGUUAAGGUUAGAUAGGCUGAGCCUACAGUUGUAAAAAUGGCAGAUAAGAGGGAGUAAGAAGCUAAGUAUAAGAAGAGUAGCUAUAGCCGUGUUGGUCACAGAACAUUAGAGAGACAAGGUGAGUAAGCCUGGCAGCUGCACCACAAUGUCAUCCAGAACCGCCUGAUGAAAGAUCUCCAUGAACUGAGCCAUCCCCGGUACUAACAGCCAGCUACGACCUGACAUCGUCAUCACCGAUGAGGCCCAGAAAAAGAUCAUCCUCGUUGAUGUCCUGGUCUCCUUUGAGAACAGGACCCCGGCGUUUCAUGAAGCCCGAGCUCGUAAGCUGGAAAAGUACACCCCCCUGGCCGACACCCUGAGACCGAAGAGCUACAAGGUGUAUAUGGAUGCCCUGGUCAUCGGAGCCCUGGGCGCCUGGGACCCCUGCAACAAGCAUGUGCUACAGACCUGCGGGAUCCGUCGACGCUACACACGGCUCAUGAGGCGCCUCAUGGUCUCAAGCACCAUCUGAUGGUCCAGGGACAUCUACAUUGAACACAUCACUGGCCACUGACAGUACCAGAGGCAUGAGCCGGCGUGACAUCUUUCUUUGACUAUGAGAAAGGGACCAACAGACCAUGAUCCGUUGGAUCAUAUGAACUGGAACCAUAAACUCCCUGAACAUUAAAUCUCACCAAAUGAGGGUAAAUCCAUCCUCAUCAUCAUAUCCAAUCAUUAUACUCCACACCCGAACAUACCCAUUAUAUGAACUUCAUACCCUCAUGUAUAUCAAAAUGUCCAUACUUUUACCCAUCAACAUUUUACCCCUAAUUGGGGAUAUUGCAGAUUACGUAUUCCUUAUGCCACUCGCUCUUAAACUGAACUUCGCACCCUUCGAUAAUCUGUAUGUUAUUCCCUGAUAACCAGAAACUUCUAUGCUUAAACUCUGUACCGUUCACUUUUUUUUUUAAACAUCAUCUUAAUAAAAAUCUUUAAAUCUCUUACUGGACCAAAUUCUAGUGGUGAAAGAGACACGUUUUCAAGCUUACACAGAAGAGUUCUCCAGCUCUGGG